rnacentral:rRNA from 1 species
GAUGAAUGCUGGCGGCGUGCCUAAUACAUGCAAGUCGAGCGGUAAGGCCCUUCGGGGUACACGAGCGGCGGACGGCUGAGUAACGCGUGGGAACAUGCCCCAAAGUGAGGGAUAACGCACCGAAAGGUGUGCUAAUACCGCAUAUGGUCUUCGGACUAAAGGAUUUAUCCGCUUUGGGAGUGGCCCGCGUACGAUUAGAUUGUUGGUGAGGUAACGGCUCACCAAGUCGACGAUCGUUAACUGGUCUGAGAGGAUGAUCAGUCAGACUGGAACUGAGACACGGUCCAGACUCCUACGGGAGGCAGCAGUAAGGAAUCUUCCACAAUGGGCGAAAGCCUGAUGGAGCAACGCCGCGUGCAGGAUGAAGGCCCUCGGGUCGUAAACUGCUUUAUGAGUGAAGAAUAUGACGGUAACUCAUGAAUAAGCACCGGCUAACUACGUGCCAGCAGCCGCGGUAAU